CCUACGGGCGGCAGCAGUGGGGAAUAUUGCACAAUGGGCGAAACUCUGAUGCAGCGACGCCGCGUGAGUGAAGAAGUAUUUCGGUACGUAAAGCUCUAUUAGCAGGGAAGAAAAUGACGGUACGUGACUAAGAAGCAUCGGCUAACUACGUGCCAGCAGCCGCGGUAAUACGUAGGGGGCAAGCGUUAUCCGGAUUGACUGGGUGUAAAGGGAGCGUAGACGGUAGCGCAAGUCUGAAGUGAAAGCCCAUGGCUUAACCGUGGAACUGCCUUUGAAACUGUGCAGCUAGAGUGCAGGAGAGGUAAGCGGAAUUCCUAGUGUAGCGGUGAAAUGCGUAGAUAUUAGGAAGAACACCAGUGGCGAAGGCGGCUUACUGGACUGUAACUGACGUUGAGGCUCGAAAGCGUGGGGAGCGAACAGGAUUAGAUACCCCAGUAGUC
rnacentral:rRNA from 1 species